GCAUCAUGAUUUACAUUUGAGUGAGUGGCGAACUGGUGAGUAACACGUGGGAAACCUGCCCAGAAGCGGGGGAUAACACCUGGAAACAGAUGCUAAUACCGCAUAACAACUUGGACCGCAUGGUCCGAGUUUGAAAGAUGGCUUCGGCUAUCACUUUUGGAUGGUCCCGCGGCGUAUUAGCUAGAUGGUGGGGUAACGGCUCACCAUGGCAAUGAUACGUAGCCGACCUGAGAGGGUAAUCGGCCACAUUGGGACUGAGACACGGCCCAAACUCCUACGGGAGGCAGCAGUAGGGAAUCUUCCACAAUGGACGAAAGUCUGAUGGAGCAACGCCGCGUGAGUGAAGAAGGGUUUCGGCUCGUAAAACUCUGUUGUUAAAGAAGAACAUAUCUGAGAGUAACUGUUCAGGUAUUGACGGUAUUUAACCAGAAAGCCACGGCUAACUACGUGCCAGCAGCCGCGGUAAUACGUAGGUGGCAAGCGUUGUCCGGAUUUAUUGGGCGUAAAGCGAGCGCAGGCGGUUUUUUAAGUCUGAUGUGAAAGCCUUCGGCUCAACCGAAGAAGUGCAUCGGAAACUGGGAAACUUGAGUGCAGAAGAGGACAGUGGAACUCCAUGUGUAGCGGUGAAAUGCGUAGAUAUAUGGAAGAACACCAGUGGCGAA
rnacentral:rRNA from 2 species